rnacentral:rRNA from 1 species
AGAGUUUGAUCCUGGCUCAGGAUGAACGCUGGCUGUGUGCCUAAUACAUGCAUGUCGAGCGAGGUUUUUUAAACCUAGCGGCGAAUGGGUGAGUAACACGUGCUUAAUCUACCCUUUAGAUUGGAAUACCCAAUGGAAACAUUGGCUAAUGCCGGAUACGCAUAAAAUCGCAUGAUUUUGUUGUGAAAGGAGCCUUUAAAGCUCCGCUAGAGGAUGAGGGUGCGGAACAUUAGUUAGUUGGUAGGGUAAUGGCCUACCAAGACUAUGAUGUUUAGCCGGGUCGAGAGACUGAACGGCCACAUUGGGACUGAGAUACGGCCCAAACUCCUACGGGAGGCAGCAGUAGGGAAUAUUCCACAAUGAGCGAAAGCUUGAUGGAGCGACACAGCGUGCACGAUGAAGGUCUUCGGAUUGUAAAGUGCUGUUAUAGGGAAAGAAAACUUGGUUGAGGAAAUGCUUCCAAGCUGACGGUACCCUGUCAGAAAGCGAUGGCUAACUAUGUGCCAGCAGCCGCGGUAAUACAUAGGUCGCAAGCGUUAUCCGGAAUUAUUGGGCGUAAAGCGUUUGUAGGCUGUUUAUUAAGUCUGGAGUUAAAUCCCAGGGCUCAACCCUGGUUCGCUUUGGAUACUGGUAAACUAGAGUUGGAUAGAGGUAAGCGGAAUUCCAUGUGAAGCGGUGAAAUGCGUAGAUAUAUGGAAGAACACCAAAGGCGAAGGCAGCUUACUGGGUCUAUACUGACGCUGAGGGACGAAAGCGUGGGGAGCAAACAGGAUUAGAUACCCUGGUAGUCCACGCCGUAAACGAUGAUCAUUAGUCGGUGGAGAAUUCACUGACGCAGCUAACGCAUUAAAUGAUCCGCCUGAGUAGUAUGCUCGCAAGAGUGAAACUUAAAGGAAUUGACGGGGACCCGCACAAGCGGUGGAGCAUGUGGUUUAAUUUGAAGAUACGCGGAGAACCUUACCCACUCUUGACAUCCUUCGCAAAGCUAUAGAGAUAUAGUUGAGGUUAACGGAGUGACAGAUGGUGCAUGGUUGUCGUCAGCUCGUGUCGUGAGAUGUUUGGUCAAGUCCUGCAACGAGCGCAACCCCUAUCUUUAGUUACUAACGAGUCAUGUCGAGGACUCUAGAGAUACUGCCUGGGUAACUGGGAGGAAGGUGGGGAUGACGUCAAAUCAUCAUGCCUCUUACGAGUGGGGCAACACACGUGCUACAAUGGUCGGUACAAAGAGAAGCGAUAUGGCGACAUGGAGCAAAUCUCAAAAAGCCGAUCUCAGUUCGGAUUGGAGUCUGCAAUUCGACUCCAUGAAGUCGGAAUCGCUAGUAAUCGCAGAUCAGCUACGCUGCGGUGAAUACGUUCUCGGGUCUUGUACACACCGCCCGUCACACCAUGGGAGCUGGUAAUACCCGAAGUCGGUUAGCUAACCUCGGAGGCGACCGCCUAAGGUAGGACUGGUGACUGGGGUGAAGUCGUAACAAGGUAUCCCUACGAGAACGUGGGGAUG